rnacentral:rRNA from 1 species
GAAUGGGGGGCGCAGCCUGAUCCAGCAAUGCCGCGUGCAGGAUGAAGGCCUUCGGGUUGUAAACUGCUUUUGUACGGAACGAAAAGCCCUGGGUUAAUACCCUGGGGUCAUGACGGUACCGUAAGAAUAAGCACCGGCUAACUACGUGCCAGCAGCCGCGGUAAUACGUAGGGUGCAAGCGUUAAUCGGAAUUACUGGGCGUAAAGCGUGCGCAGGCGGUUUUGUAAGACAGAGGUGAAAUCCCCGGGCUCAACCUGGGAACUGCCUUUGUGACUGCAAGGCUAGAGUACGGCAGAGGGGGAUGGAAUUCCGCGUGUAGCAGUGAAAUGCGUAGAUAUGCGGAGGAACACCGAUGGCGAAGGCAAUCCCCUGGGCCUGUACUGACGCUCAUGCACGAAAGCGUGGGGAGCAAACAGGAUUAGAUACCCUGGUAGUCCACGCCCUAAACGAUGUCAACUGGUUGUUGGGUCUUAACUGACUCAGUAACGAAGCUAACGCGUGAAGUUGACCGCCUGGGGAGUACGGCCGCAAGGUUGAAACUCAAGAAAA